rnacentral:rRNA from 1 species
UACGGUGGGAGCAAGCGUUGUUCGGAUUUACUGGGCGUAAAGGGCGGGUAGGCGGCCACCGCAAGUCAGUUGUGAAAUCUCUGGGCUUAACCCAGAAAGGUCAACUGAUACUGCGGGGCUAGAGUGCGGAAGGGGCAACUGGAAUUCUCGGUGUAGCGGUGAAAUGCGUAGAUAUCGAGAGGAACACCUGCGGCGAAGGCGGGUUGCUGGGCUGACACUGACGCUGAACUGCGAAAGCUAGGGGAGCGAACGGG